UUAGCCCUUGACAGUGAAGCACCCAGGGUGUGUCAGACACUAUUCUAUACAUCACGGAUUUCAUUGUGAUCAAGACUGUCUGGGUACUUGUUUCCAUGGAGCUGUUAUUCUAGUGGGGCACUCUGACAACAAGUAUGUAAACAAAUAAGAUAAUUUAGAAGGUUAUAUAUGCCAUAAAUAAAGGAGUGAAUUUGAGAUAAGACUUGGAGGGGGGGUGCUGUUAGAUAUGGAGAUCGUGGAAUCAGCAUUUGAUCUGAAGCCUGAAAAGGGAAGGGAUGUCAGAGAGUCAAAAUCAUGAAGGAAAGAGUUUCAGGCAGAGACAGCGGCAAGUGCACAGAUCCUGAGGCAGGAAAUCCAGGCUUCUCUGGGGAAAGAAGAAAGAAUAAGGUGCCUGGAAAAGACUGGGCAGAGAGAGGACUGAAUAGGACUUACUUGUUCCAGGGCAUACAACUAGAGGUGUCGGACUGAAAUCUGACCCAUGCAUUAUUCUGGGGAUAUCACGGUGAAUAACAUACACAAGAUAUUUGUUUCAACAAAUGGAUAUCCAAGCUGAGGAAAUAAAAAGUUGGAUAAGAGUCUGUGGAUGCUGUGGAGCUUGAGAGGAUGGGGGAGAGAGGUUAGCAGUCACCACUGACAGUUGGCCAUGUCCUGAGUGCCUCACGCAGCGUGAAGGUGGAAGUGGUGGGGGAAGGCUCAGAACCCCAGCUUCUGCAAAACCAAGUGAAGGCUGGACACACCUGGCGAUGCUG